UACGAAGGGAGCUAGCGUUGUUCGGAAUCACUGGGCGUAAAGCGCACGUAGGCGGAUGUGUCAGUCAGGGGUGAAAUCCCGGAGCUCAACUUCGGAACUGCCUUUGAUACAGCACGUCUUGAGUCCGAUAGAGGUGGGUGGAAUUCCCGGUGUAGCGGUGAAAUGCGCAGAUAUCUGGAGGAACACCGGUGGCGAAGGCGGCAUCCUGGACCAUCACUGACGCUGAGGAGCGAAAGCCAGGGGAGCAAACGGG
rnacentral:rRNA from 1 species